UAGCAAAAGACACCACCAUAUAUAUUAAUGUUGUAGACUUUUAGUCCAAAUGGCAAAUAACAUAGCAAAUUGCCAAGAUACAUCACCAUAUCAAUGUUUAAGUUAAAAAAUAUUAAUGUCAACAUUAACAAUCAUCCAUCACUGAUCAAAUAUCAUCAAAAGUCAUUAAACAUAUUAUUAUCCUCCUCUCGUGGCAAAUUAGAAGCACAAACAGUGCCACUGGCAGUGGUACGAGCAAUCGCAGCCUCAGGAGAAGCCUCAUGAUCACUAGGUAGCUCAUCAUCAUGAUCAUCAUCAACUCCAAGUGCAUCAAGGCAGGCGAUUGAAUCAUCCAACUCUGCAUGCUCUGGUUCAGCAUCCCAAUGCUUUGACCAAAAUAGGCAAAAAGAAACUUUAAAAAAAUUUAAAAAAUGUGUCAAAUCACCCAAAUUCUCCUCGGGUUCUGCUGCUGGGUUCAAAAUUCUUUGGAAAGGUGCCGAAAUUCUCCCCGGGUCCUGAUGAUCAAAUCCACAGGGCAAAAUACGAACCCUGGCCGAAUUUUGAAUGAAUUUGCAACGAACCAGAAUUUGCAGCGAAUCGAACCCAAACCCAGGGAAUUUGCAAAAGAAUCUGGUAACUUAGGUUUCUGGUUUGAAUAUUCUGAUCUGAUCUUUCUUGAUGCUUGAUGCUAUAUUAUUUUAUGUGUGAUCUUCCCUUUUCACAACAAAUUAAUUUUUAAUUAUAGAACUUGGUCUGCUGUGCAAAUGAUUGUAAACCCUGCUUGUAUUCUUAUUCUUCUUGUUGAUCCCCUCUUGAUUGGGUGCUUUGAGGUACUCUUAUAUCCCUCGCUGGCCAUUGGGGAGUCAUGACCCCUCUCCACGGGUUGUAUUGCUAAUGAAGGAUGUGUCCUUUGGUGGCUCCUCUUUCUGAGUUCGUGAAUGACUAAACAAGGAUAAUCACCUCAGCUAAUUAUCGUGAGGGCUAGGCAACAAUAACCGGCCCUUAAUUAAUCAUUCCUGAAUGAAUGUAAUAUUUGUGAGAACCAAACAAGGGUGAUCACCUUAUCUCAAUCAGUUUCUGAAGAAUAUAUUCGCUGCAUUGAUUAAUCCCGAUUUAUGUGAUAGGCAAUUGCGUUCUUUAUGAAAUUGUGUAGUCUUACUCUGUAAGACAAUUUCAUAUGCAAGUUUUCUGUUUGUGAGAGGGAUAUCAGAUUGGGGGCCAUGACAUAAAACUUUAAUAGAAAUUGCGAAGUAUGGGAUGAUUUGGACAAGUUGGCCAUUCUGAAAAAAAUUGUUUCAGAUUUUGUAUCCAUGAUUAAAGCUGAUAUUAUAACUCUUCAUCAACACAGGCUAAAUAGAAUUACAAGGGUGAGGAUGUGUGCUAGCCAAACAAGGUCAAUCACAUGCAAGCACUCAGAAGUGAACAACAGUUGCGUACAGCCAGCAAAGAAAGUAUUCCAGAUUGUAUUACCCAGAAAUGGAUCUCUCCAACAUACUAUGCCAGAAUAAUAGGAGUCCCUAUUUCAUCUAUUCCAAAACUUCUGAGUUGCAGCCAGCAAAGAAAGUAUACCAGAUUGUAUUACCCAGAAAUGGAUCUCUCCAACAAACAUACUAUGCCAGAAUAAUAGGAGUCCCAUGACUAGGUAAGGAGAAAGUGCAACACCAUUAUCCAGAAGUCCAUGGCAAUAGCAGGGAUGUAUCCGCACCCAGCAUACAAGGUUCAAACAUUAACAUAACCCACAUGCCAUCAUGCUCAUAACUGGAUAUUUAUCAAAUUGACCCCUAUAGAUUGUCAUGUGCAC